rnacentral:rRNA from 1 species
UUUAAUUAAAAUAUUGUUUGUGUUAUUAUUUAUUAUACUAUUAUGAGAAAUAACUUAUUUGUUAGUAAAUUUUAUUGAAUUCAUUAUUUUUAACAAUAGUUUAAAUUACUGUGAAGGAAAUUUUUUAAUUAUUUAUAAGCAGAUUUUUUUUAUUGUACCUUUUGUAUCAGGGUUUAUCAAUUUUUGAUUAAUGAUAAUUAAUUUUCCCGAAAUUAAAAGAGAUAUGUUUAAAUGGAGUUUUACGUGUCAAAGUAAUUUUUAAUUUAUGCAUAGAGGUUAUAUGCUAUUCAAUUUUAAAUAUCUGGUUUUCUAAUAUAUUAAUUUAAUUAAGACUAUUGUUAAGUUAUUAUAUAAUUUUAUUUUUUUUAAUUACAAUAGUUAAGUUUAUAGGGGAUAAGCUCUAUAUAUGAAUUAUAACUUAAUAUUAUUUAAAGGUUUGUAGGCUUAGUAACAGCCAUCAUAUAUUUCAUUACAGUUAAUCUUUAUUUAAUUUUUAUUUAACAGUUGUUUAAUUUUUUAUUAGAAUUUUUUAUUUAAUUUUUUAUUAUAAGUAAUAAUGAUAGAAUUAGUAGUUUUGAAUAUUCAAGUAUAGGAAUUCGGCAAAAUUUAUUUCCGCCUGUUUAACAAAAACAUGUCCUUUAGAUUGUAAUUAUAGGUCUAGCCUGCCCAGUGAUGAACUUAAACGGCCGCAGUAUUUUGACUGUGCGAAGGUAGCAUAAUCAUUUGUCUUUUAAUUGAAGGCUAGGAUGAAUGGUUGGACGAGAGAUAAACUUUCUUUAUUUGAUUUUUAUGAAUUUUAUUUUUGAGUUAAAAAGCUUAAAUUUUAUUGCAAGACGAGAAGACCCUAUAGAAUUUUACUAUAUUAAUUAUAUUUAUUUUUUGGUUAAGAUGAGUUGAUAAAUUUUGUUAAUUUAGUUUUGUUGGGGCGACAGUGAAAAUUGAUUAACUUUCAUUUUUAUUAUUCAUUAAUUGAUGUUUUAGUUGAUCUUUUAUUAGGGAUUAUUAGAUUAAAUUACCUUAGGGAUAACAGCGUAAUUUUUUCGGAGAGUUCUUAUCGAUGAAUAAAGUUUGCGACCUCGAUGUUGGAUUAAAAUUAGAUUUGGGUGUAGCAGCUCAUAUAUACUAAGUCUGUUCGACUUUUAAUUUUUUACAUGAUCUGAGUUCAGACCGGCGUGAGCCAGGUUGGUUUCUAUCUGCAAUUGAUUGUAUUAUACUUUAGUACGAAAGGACCAGGUAUAAGUAAAAAUUAUAUAGUUUUGAGUAUUAAUAA